UACGGAGGGUGCAAGCGUUGUUCGGAAUCAUUGGGCGUAAAGCGCGUGUAGGCGGCUUGGCAAGUCAGUUGUGAAAGCCCGGGGCCCAACCCCGGAACUGCAUCUGAAACUGCUUGGCUCGAGUCCCGGAGAGGAAGGCAGAAUUCCCGGUGUAGGGGUGAAAUCCGUAGAUAUCGGGAGGAAUACCAGCGGCGAAGGCGGCCUUCUGGACGGUGACUGACGCUGAGACGCGAAAGCGUGGGGAGCAAACAGG
rnacentral:rRNA from 1 species